AGUCGAGCCCAAAUGGCAACCUUAUAUGUGCUAUCGCACUUAUUUGGUAACGACCCAUUAUAGCCAAUUUCAAAACCUAUCAAAAUUGAAUAUUGCCCUAUAAAAAUACUACAAAAUUCCAGAGUAGGAUUGUAGCAAGCCACGGUCACAUUUGAUUUGCAUAUUUCCGGUCUCUUUUCGUGAAGCCUUGAUCGAGUGCAGUUUAACUUUUUGUAAAAUUUAUGAUUAAAAAUCCACGAACAUCGAGUGGUUUGGAUAAGUGUUUUUCAAGGCAAAUAUUGCCAAGUGAUCAUUUAAAUCGCUAUCUAAUUUUAACUGCGCCGCUGCCGGUCCCACAUUUUGAGGGAGAAUUCUUAGUGGCUGCGUCGCCAAGGCUUGUAUUGACAAAAUUCACAACUGCUUGCCUCAGGAGCACCCACCGCGUGCAGCGGAAAGCUGGGCUUCUCCUUUUCUGCUGCCGACGGAUCGCAACCCCCCUCUAGUUGGCGUUCUUUUUUUUACUCUUCAUCGCCGCAAACAAGAAGCAGAUCGUCGUGCAUCCAUUUUAUGCACUCGUCAGCUUUGUGUGCUUCUUUUUCGUCGUUUUCGUCGCACACAUCGAAUCAGCGUCACUUCUUCUUCAUCCGUGCGCAUUCCGAUAAUAUUUGUGCACAACACGAGCCCCAGGCUGCUGGCUGCGUAUGCUGCGACCCUGAAGCAGUCACGACACGAAUGAUCGUGUUCAGUAUUAAGUAUCUUUAGAAUAGUUUUUCAUACUUGUGUUAAUUUUACCUAAGAAUAUUUACUUAUAAACCUCUACGAUUUUAAUUUAGCUUAACUUGUGGGAGAUCUGACAAGUAUACAUAUAUAUAUGUGAUUUCCCCAAUUUAUAUUAAUACAUACAGCAAAUCAUCAACAGUCAUCAGGCCUGCUGACAUCGAUGGAAAGUGCGUGAGUACAGAACAAAAACAAUAAAAACACACAUGCAUAUAUAAUGUCAGAUAUUCCUAAAUAGUUUGAUUGAAAUACCUUGCCUUAAUUUAUCGUAUUUCUAGAUCUCUUAAUUUAAAGAAGUUUAAAGUUUAAAUAUUCAUUAAUCAUACAUAAUUCUAAUGUAAAGUAAGCAAAACAAACAAAAUUAGUAAUGUAAGCUUAAAUACCAACAUUUUCAUUCCUAUCUUAAUUAUUUUUCCUUCAUUUUGUCGUAGAUAAUCAAAAUUACCCAAUAAGAGAUUUCCUUAACGUAAAUAACGUAAUUUUUAGGUUAAGGAUUAGGUUUAGGAAAAUGUAUCGGAAUAUUAUCUUUAUCUUCAAUUAUAUGGGGUCCAAAAUGAA